AUGGAGAUCAAUGCUGAAGAUAGCUCUUCAA
rnacentral:piRNA from 1 species